GGGUUGUGAGGUUAAGCGACUAAGCGUACACGGUGGAUGCCCUGGCAGUCAGAGGCGAUGAAGGACGUGCUAAUCUGCGAUAAGCGUCGGUAAGGUGAUAUGAACCGUUAUAACCGGCGAUUUCCGAAUGGGGAAACCCAGUGUGUUUCGACACACUAUCAUUAACUGAAUCCAUAGGUUAAUGAGGCGAACCGGGGGAACUGAAACAUCUAAGUACCCCGAGGAAAAGAAAUCAACCGAGAUUCCCCCAGUAGCGGCGAGCGAACGGGGAGCAGCCCAGAGCCUGAAUCAGUAUGUGUGUUAGUGGAAGCGUCUGGAAAGGCGCGCGAUACAGGGUGACAGCCCCGUACACAAAAAUGCACAUGCUGUGAGCUCGAUGAGUAGGGCGGGACACGUGGUAUCCUGUCUGAAUAUGGGGGGACCAUCCUCCAAGGCUAAAUACUCCUGACUGACCGAUAGUGAACCAGUACCGUGAGGGAAAGGCGAAAAGAACCCCGGCGAGGGGAGUGAAAAAGAACCUGAAACCGUGUACGUACAAGCAGUGGGAGCACGCUUAGGCGUGUGACUGCGUACCUUUUGUAUAAUGGGUCAGCGACUUAUAUUCUGUAGCAAGGUUAACCGAAUAGGGGAGCCGAAGGGAAACCGAGUCUUAACUGGGCGUUAAGUUGCAGGGUAUAGACCCGAAACCCGGUGAUCUAGCCAUGGGCAGGUUGAAGGUUGGGUAACACUAACUGGAGGACCGAACCGACUAAUGUUGAAAAAUUAGCGGAUGACUUGUGGCUGGGGGUGAAAGGCCAAUCAAACCGGGAGAUAGCUGGUUCUCCCCGAAAGCUAUUUAGGUAGCGCCUCGUGAAUUCAUCUCCGGGGGUAGAGCACUGUUUCGGCAAGGGGGUCAUCCCGACUUACCAACCCGAUGCAAACUGCGAAUACCGGAGAAUGUUAUCAC
rnacentral:rRNA from 1 species